UUUUUUUUUUUUUUUUUUUUUUUGUGACGAAGAAAAAAAAAAGAAAGAAGAAG
rnacentral:ribozyme from 14 species